rnacentral:rRNA from 1 species
AUUGAACGCUGGCGGCAGGCCUAACACAUGCAAGUCGAGCGAGCGGCGGACGGGUGAGUAAUGUAUGGGUACUGCUCGAUAGUGGGGGAUAACUACUGGAAACGGUAGCUAAUAACGCAUACUAUCGGAUAACUCAUGGGGGAUUAGCUAGUAGGUGAGGUAAUGGCCCACCUAGGCGAAGAUCCCUAACUGGUCUGAGAGGAUGAUCAGCCACACUGGGACUGAGACACGGCCCAGACUCCUACGGAGGCAGCAGUGGGGAAUAUUGCACAAUGGGCGAAAGCCUGAUGCAGCAAUGCCGCGUGUAUGAAGAAGGCCCUAGGGUUGUAAAGUACUUUCAGUCGGGAGGCGUUACCGACAGAAGAAGCACCGGCUAACUACGUGCCAGCCGCCGCGGUAAUUC